rnacentral:rRNA from 1 species
GACAAGUCGGUCCUCUGUGCUGGUGGUAACACAUGUGCACGUUGACUGCAAAUCCACACACUUGUGCACCUUUGACUUUGGGAUCCGCCGGUUGGCUUGUCCAGCUGUGCAGUUGGCUGGCUCUGGGGUUGGCCUGGGUCCUGAGGUAAUUUUUACAUACACUUGCAUGUAUUGGAAUGUAUUUGUGCAUAAUGCGCAAAUAAACAACUUUCAACAACGGAUCUCUUGGCUCUCGCAUCGAUGAAGAACGCAGCGAAAUGCGAUAAGUAAUGUGAAUUGCAGAAUUCAGUGAAUCAUCGAAUCUUUGAACGCACCUUGCACCCUUUGGUAUUCCGAGGGGUACGCCCGUCUGAGUGUCAUUGUAAUCUCACUCCCCUAGCCUUUGCUGGCCUGGGAGGUGGACUUGGACUCUGCUGUGUUAUCCAUGGCUGGUCUAAAAUGCAUGAGUGUACCCUGCUGUUGCAGCGUCUUCAGUGUGAUAAGCAUCCUCACUGGACAAAGUUCCCUUUAGGACACGCAUGCAAGUGGGCUCUGCGCUUCUAACAGUCCCGCUUUUGGGACAGCUUUGACAACUUGACCUCAGAUCGGGUGGGACUACCCGCUGAACUUAAGCAUAUCAAUAAGCGGAGGAAAAGAAACUAACAAGGAUUCCCCUAGUAACGGCGAGUGAAGAGGGAAAAGCUCAAAUUUUGAAUCUGGUGUCUUUGGCGCCCGAGUUGUAAUCUAGAGAAGUGUUUUCUGCCUCGGACCACACAUAAAUUCCCUGGAAUGGGGUUUCAUAGAGGGUGAGAAUCCCGUUUGUGGUGUGGACUACCUUGGCUCUGUGAUACACUCUCAACGAGUCGAGUUGUUUGGGAAUGCAGCUCAAAAUGGGUGGUAAAUUCCAUCUAAAGCUAAAUAUUGGCGAGAGACCGAUAGCGAACAAGUACCGUGAGGGAAAGAUGAAAAGCACUUUGGAAAGAGAGUGAAACAGUACGUGAAAUUGUUGAAAGGGAAGCGUUUGAAGUCAGUCACAUCUGUCGGGACUCAGCCUGGCUUUGCCUGGUGUACUUCCUGGUGGAUGGGUCAGUGUCAGUUUUGACCGGGAGAAAAAGGCUUGGGGAAUGUGGCUGUCUUCGGGCAGUGUUAUAGCCCCUUGUCAUAUGUCUCGGUUGGGACUGAGGUUUGCAGCACGCCUUAUGGCCGGGGUUCGCCCUCGGUACGUGCUUA